CACGUAGGCACCAAGCGUUGUCCGGAUUUCUUGUGCGUAAAGAGCUCGUAGGCGGUUGAGUAAGUCGGGUGUGAAAACUCUGGGCUUAACCCAGAGCCGCCACCCGAUACUGCUCUGACUUGAGUUCGGUAGGGGAGCAGGGAAUUCCUAGUGUAGCGGUGAAAUGCGCAGAUAUUAGGAGGAACACCUGUGGCGAAGGCGCUGCUCUGGGCCGAAACUGACGCUGAGGAGCGAAAGCGUGGGUAGCAAACAGG
rnacentral:rRNA from 1 species